rnacentral:rRNA from 1 species
UCAAGUUAUUAAGGGUGCAGGGCGAAUGCCUUGGCACUAGGAGCCGAUGAAGGACGUGAUAAGCUGCGAUAAGCUUCGGGGAGUUGCACGUAAACUUUGAUCCGAAGAUUUCCGAAUGAGGAAACUCACUUAGAGUAAUGUCUAAGUAUCGUAUGAUGAAUACAUAGUCAUGCGAGGGGAACCCGGAGAACUGAAACAUCUAAGUACCCGGAGGAAGAGAAAGAAAUUCGAUUCCGUAAGUAGCGGCGAGCGAACGCGGAACAGGCCAAACCAGUGAAGUUUUCUUCGCUGGGGUUGCGGACAUAUCAUAACGAAGAGGUAUCGUAGAGGAAGAGAGUUGGAAAGCUCCGCCAUAGAUGGUAACAGCCCAGUACUUUAAACGAGAAGACUUUAGAUAUGAUCCAGAGUACCACGGGACACGUGAAACCCUGUGGGAAGCAGGAGGGACCAUCCUCCAAGCCUAAAUACUACCUAGUGACCGAUAGCGUAUAGUACCGUGAGGGAAAGGUGAAAAGAACCCCGGGAGGGGAGUGAAAGAGAACCUGAAACCCUGCACUUACAAGCUGUAGGAGCACAUUUCUUGUGUGACUGCGUACUUUUUGUAGAACGGGCCAACGAGUUACGUUGUGUAGCAAGGUUAAGCACUUAAGGUGUGGAGCCGUAGCGAAAGCGAGUCUUAAAUGGGCGUCUAGUUACCCGACGUAGACCCGAAACCAGGCGACCUAUCCAUGAGCAGGUUGAAGCGAAAGUAAAAUUUCGUGGAGGACCGAACCCACGUACGUUGAAAAGUGCGGGGAUGACUUGUGGAUAGCGGUGAAAUUCCAAUCGAGCCUGGAGAUAGCUGGUUCUCCCCGAAAUAGCUUUAGGGCUAGCCUCAAGAUUAGAGAAGCGGAGGUAGAGCACUGAAUGUCCUAGGGGGUAUUGCACUUACCGAAGACUAUCAAACUCCGAAUGCCGUAUUCUUUUGCUUGGGAGUCAGACUAUGGGUGAUAAGAUUCAUAGUCAAGAGGGCAACAGCCCAGAUCGUCAGCUAAGGUCCCUAAAUGUAAGUUAAGUGGUAAAGGAUGUGGAAUUGCACAGACAACCAGGAUGUUGGCUUAGAAGCAGCCACUCAUUUAAAGAGUGCGUAAUAGCUCACUGGUCGAGUGAUUCUGCGCCGAAAAUUUCCGGGGCUAAAACUUACUACCGAAGCUACGGCAUCAUUAUGAUGGGUAGGGGAGCUUUCUAUACGGGUUGAAGCAUGACCGUAAGGACAUGUGGACUGUAUAGAAGUGAGAAUGUUGGCAUGAGUAGCGAGAUGUGGGUGAGAAUCCCACAGGCCGUAAACCCAAGGUUUCCAGGGGAAGGUUCGUCCGCCCUGGGUUAGUCAGGACCUAAGCCGAGGCCGAAAGGCGUAGGUGAUGGACAACAGGUUGAUAUUCCUGUACCACCAAUAACCGUUUGAGAAAUGGGAUGACACAGUAGGAUAAGCUAACCGCACUGUUGGUUAUGUGCGGGCAAGUAUUGAGGCAGUUCCGAUAGGCAAAUCCGUCGGAAUAAUGCUGGGGUACGAUGCGGAGCGAAAUUAAGUAGCGAAGUAGCUGAUUUCACACUGUCGAGAAAAGUCUCUAUCGAGGUUAAAGGUGCCUGUACCGCAAACCGACACAGGUGGGUGAGGAGAGUAUCCUAAGGCCAGCGAGAGAACUGUUGUUAAGGAACUCGGCAAAAUGACCCCGUAACUUAGGGAGAAGGGGUGCCUUCGAAAGAAGGCCGCAGAGAAUAGGCCCAAGCGACUGUUUACCAAAAACAUAGGUUUCUGCUAAGUCGCAAGACGAUGUAUAGGAGCUGACGCCUGCCCGGUGCUGGAAGGUUAAGGGGAUCUGUUAGAGCAAUCGAAGCAGUGAACUUAAGCCCCAGUAAACGGCGGCCGUAACUAUAACGGUCCUAAGGUAGCGAAAUUCCUUGUCGGGUAAGUUCC